rnacentral:rRNA from 1 species
UGGGAUAACACCUGGAAACAGAUGCUAAUACCGGAUAACAACACUAGACGCAUGUCUAGAGUUUGAAAGAUGGUUCUGCUAUCACUCUUGGAUGGACCUGCGGUGCAUUGGCUAGUUGGUAAGGUAACGGCUUACCAAGGCAAUGAUGCAUAGCCGAGUUGAGAGACUGAUCGGCCACAUUGGGACUGAGACACGGCCCAAACUCCUACGGGAGGCAGCAGUAGGGAAUCUUCCACAAUGGACGAAAGUCUGAUGGAGCAACGCCGCGUGAGUGAAGAAGGGUUUCGGCUCGUAAAGCUCUGUUGGUAGUGAAGAAAGAUAGAGGUAGUAACUGGCCUUUAUUUGACGGUAAUUACUUAGAAAGUCACGGCUAACUACGAGCCAGCAGCCGCGGUAAUACGUAGGUGGCAAGCGUUGUCCGGACUUAUUGGGCGUAAAGCGAGUGCAGGCGGUUCAAUAAGUCUGAUGUGAAAGCCUUCGGCUCAACCGGAGAAUUGCAUCAGAAACUGUUGAACUUGAGUGCAGAAGAGGAGAGUGGAACUCCAUGUGUAGCGGUGGAAUGCGUAGAUAUAUGGAAGAACACCAGUGGCGAAGGCGGCUCUCUGGUCUGCAACUGACGCUGAGGCUCGAAAGCAUGGGUAGCGAACAGGAUUAGAUACCCUGGUAGUCCAUGCCGUAAACGAUGAG